rnacentral:rRNA from 1 species
GGGGGGGGGGGGGGGGGGGGGGGGCGGAGGCAGGGCGGGGGGUAACAGGCCGCAAGGUGCUGACGGGUGGCGAACGGGGGAGUAAUGCAUCGGAACGUGCCCAGGCGUGGGGGAUAACUACUCGAGAGAGUAGCUAAUACCGCAUACGAUCUAUGGAUGAAAGCGGGUGACCGUAAGGCCUCGCGCGAUUGGAGCGGCCGAUGUCAGAUUAGGUAGUUGGUGGGGUCAAGGCUCACCAAGCCAACGAUCUGUAGCUGGUCUGAGAGGACAACCAGCCACCAUGGGACUGAGACACGGCCCAGACUCCUACGGGAGGCAGCAGUGGGGAAUUUUGGACAAUGGGCGCAAGCCUGAUCCAGCAAUGCCGCGUGCAGGAAGAAGGCCUUCGGGUUGUAAACUGCUUUUGUACGGAACGAAACGGCUCUGGUUAAUACCCGGGGCUAAUGACGGUACAGUAAGAAUAAGCACCGGCUAACUACGUG